rnacentral:tRNA from 1 species
AAGGAUUUAAGUUAAGAGAAACUCGUAGCCUUCAAAGCUUCAAAUAAAGGUUGCCUUUAAGCCUUA